rnacentral:tRNA from 1 species
UCUUAUUUUAAGUUUUAAAAAAAAUUACUUUGAUAUAGUAAAAAUAGGAAAGAAAGUUUCUUAGAACGAA